rnacentral:misc_RNA from 1 species
GUCCCCGGCGCAAGUCGCUGUCAUGACUUUCGUUCUGUUUUGUGGUUUUCGGCCGAGUGCCGUGGUGCAUUAUGGAUUCACGGUCCUGUGUCUGCUCUUUGUUCUUCUGGUGUCGUGUCCAGUUCGCUGCCAGGAGACACUGACAAAUCGGAUGCGUGUGAUCAGCGAGGAUCUGGACCGGCAGCUGAAUGAUAUCAUGGCAUCGCAGAGUCUCAACUACACGACAAUGAACACGACCAAGCUGCUCUACAACGCCACCACGAAGUUCAACCCCAAGGGCAUGGGCCAGCUGUACAACGUGACCAACAUGUUCAUCGACUUCGUGCAGAGCAAGCAAGCAUAUCCCGAGGGAAUGUUCACUGUCGUGGACGGAACGCCGACCUUUCAGUACACCUUGUCCUCGUGGAAGAUCAUCGCCACGCAUUACGGUGGAUUAGCCGGUCUAACCUUGGUCGGACUCCUCCUAGCCGCCAUUUUACCUUGCGUGGGCUUUUUAUUCUGUUGCUGCAGGUGUGCUGGCCAUUGCGGUGCCAGGAAUCAACCGUUCGAUAAGAAACACGAUCAUUGUAGGAAAGUGAUGCUGAGCAUGGUGCUCAUGGCGGUCGCUACCAUUAUACUGUUCGGCGUGGUCUGCGCCUUCGUGACGAACGAGUACAUGCAAGACGGGACCAAGGAGUUUCCUCAUAACAUGAGGGUCAGCCUGAAAGACGUGAAACUGUAUCUGAGCAGCACGAAGGAGGAGAUCAAUUACAGCCUCAAGACUAAUUUCGACGAGCUGGAGAUUAAUCUGAACAACAUCCUCCAGGCCAGCGGCAGAAUUGUCACUGAACAACUCGCAGAGUACUCCCACGCGGUCUCGUUGACUAAUCUAAGCGACAUUGUGGCUAGCUUGGAGUCCAUUAAGGAGGAUCUCAAGAUCAUGCAUACGAUCACUCGCGAUCUAAGGACGAAUGCUAGCAAGCUGGACAUCGUUGUACGAGGCGUUAAGAACAAUCUGCUCCACACUCUCGCUGCUUGCAAGAGCCGAUAUUGCGAGGAGGUGCUGCACAUUUUCAACGUGAAUCAGAUGUCGGUUCAAGUAGACUUCGACAAGUACAUGGACCGAUACUUCCCCAAGUUGCCAAACGUCACGUCCGCCCUGCGCAAUAUCACCAUGCUGUUGGAGAGCAACAUCGUGUCGGAGGUGAGCCAGGGUAAGGAGUCGUUCCUGAAGAUUCAGGAGGACAUCCAACACGCCGUGAAUCAGACCAUUCCCAUGGUCAGCGCGAGCAUCGGGAGAGCCGGGGACUUUCUGGGGAUUCUCGCGAAGAACAUGACAAUGCUCAUCGAUAGGAUAAACGGCGACAUAGACAAGUCGUACAUGAAAGACCUGGAUGUCGCGCAAUCGCAUAUCGAUCAGUAUUCGCCGUACAGGUACUAUCUUGGUCUUGGAAUAUCCGGGAUUCUGUUAAUGAUCUUCAUAUGUCUAACCUUCGGCCUCUUCUGUGGCAUUUAUGGCAAGCGUCCAGACGGUUAUGGAGACGACUGCUGCAACAAGGGGUCUGGAGCACGAUUUCUUAUGAUGGCUGUUUGGAACAUCUUUCUUUUAACGAGCGUUCUGAUGGUGAUCACCGUGGUGCACAUGAUCGUCGGCGUUCUGGUGCAGAGAGCAGUUUGUGAGCCGUUAAAGAAUCCGCAGGAUAACAGGAUGUUUGCCUUGGUCGACGAAGUCGUUCAGAUCAAGAAGAUGCUGUACCCUGACAACCCUAAUGCCGAUAUCAAUAUGAGCUAUAUAGUCACACACUGUCAUCGGAACGAAACGCUGUAUAAAGUACUGAAGCUGGAAAACAUCUUCGACGUGGGCACCUUGCGCGAGUAUGCCGGCCGAUACGACAUAAACAACACUAUUCAGCAGUUGCGUCGCAAGAUCAGUCUUUCACCGGGCGUAGUCAUCCUGAGGAACAGCGCGAAAUCGAAACUGCACGAUCUCGCGCGAAGCGGCCUCAGUGAUAUCAAGUUCUAUCAAUACAUGGAGAUUCUCGAGGAUAAUAUCACGAACAUUAAUCUGCUACAUCUAGCGCACGAAUUGUUCAUUAUAGCGAGUAAGCUGGGCGACGAUGGACAAGAGGACAUUCGUCACAGUGUGCAGAAUAACCGGAUUGAGUUAGAACAUAUUCAUCACCAGUUGGUGAGACCUAUGGCAAUGCUCAGUGAACAAUUAGUCGCGAGAGCUAUGGCGCUCGAGGAAAAGAUAAGGUUUAACCACAGUUCCAUGGCGGAAGCCAUUCACAAUCUCGUGGACGAAGUGACAAAGGCGCAGCAGUUCUUGAAUAAAGACGGGCCAGAAUUCGUACAGCAACUGGCAACCAAAUUCGGAAACGCUUUCCUGCGUCAAGUCGACGAUUUCCUCGAUCAAGUUACCGAUAGUGCGCUGUUCAAGGUAGGAAAAUGUGGUCCCGUUUCGAAUGCAUAUGACGCCGCACUGGUCGCAGGAUGCAACAAGAUCUUAGACCCAUUUAAUGGUUUCUGGGUGAGCGUGGGCUGGUGUUUAAUCCUCUUCAUCCCGACCAUCGUGUUGUGCGUGAAACUGAGCGCGCUGUACCAGAAAUCGGAUCCCUAUCCUGGACCUCUAGUCGAAGCUGAAUAUUUGUAUGACGCGUACGCAGACAGGGAUAACAUACCCCUUACUCAUGUUCACGACAAGAAAUACGUGUCACAUAGCAGAGACCCUUACGCAAAGUACGAAAGCUACGAUGGUCCCGCGGGUGGAUACAGUGAACGGGAAAAAGGGCCGGGAGCGCACCAGAGCACGUCCCACUCCCAUCACUAUUCCAGAUACUCUGACGUGGCGCCGAAGUGAGUGGGAACCUUGCGGGGGGGCAACUUCUCGCGUCUCUCGAUAUGCCUCUGCACAAAUUGUGACUUCCCUAAUGGUGGUCCUCCUGGAUACCAGCCAGCUGCAGCGGCUCCACCUCCGCUAAGCAC